GCGAACGCUGGCGGCAGGCUUAACCCCUGCAAGUCGAACGGGCAUAGCAAUAUGUCAGUGGCAGACGGGUGAGUAACGCGUGGGAACGUACCUUUUGGUUCGGAACAACACAGGGAAACUUGUGCUAAUACCGGAUAAGCCCUUACGGGGAAAGAUUUAUCGCCGAAAGAUCGGCCCGCGUCUGAUUAGCUAGUUGGUAGGGUAAUGGCCUACCAAGGCGACGAUCAGUAGCUGGUCUGAGAGGAUGAUCAGCCACAUUGGGACUGAGACACGGCCCAAACUCCUACGGGAGGCAGCAGUGGGGAAUAUUGGACAAUGGGCGAAAGCCUGAUCCAGCCAUGCCGCGUGAGUGAUGAAGGCCCUAGGGUUGUAAAGCUCUUUUGUGCGGGAAGAUAAUGACGGUACCGCAAGAAUAAGCCCCGGCUAACUUCGUG
rnacentral:rRNA from 1 species